GCGGCGGACGGGUGAGUAACACGUGGGCAACCUGCCUGUAAGACUGGGAUAACUUCGGGAAACCGGAGCUAAUACCGGAUAAUCCUUUCCCUCACAUGAGGGAAAGCUGAAAGACGGUUUCGGCUGUCACUUACAGAUGGGCCCGCGGCGCAUUAGCUAGUUGGUGAGGUAACGGCUCACCAAGGCGACGAUGCGUAGCCCACCUGAGAGGGUGAUCGGCCACACUGGGACUGAGACACGGCCCAGACUCCUACGGGAGGCAGCAGUAGGGAAUCUUCCGCAAUGGACGAAAGUCUGACGGAGCAACGCCGCGUGAGCGAUGAAGGCCUUCGGGUCGUAAAGCUCUGUUGUCAGGGAAGAACAAGUAUCGGAGUAACUGCCGGUACCUUGACGGUACCUGACCAGAAAGCCACGGCUAACUACGUGCCAGCAGCCGCGGUAAUACGUAGGUGGCAAGCGUUGUCCGGAAUUAUUGGGCGUAAAGCGCGCGCAGGCGGUUCCUUAAGUCUGAUGUGAAAGCCCCCGGCUCAACCGGGGAGGGUCAUUGGAAACUGGGGAACUUGAGUGCAGAAGAGGAGAGCGGAAUUCCACGUGUAGCGGUGAAAUGCGUAGAGAUGUGGAGGAACACCAGUGGCGAAGGCGGCUCUCUGGUCUGUAACUGACGCUGAGGCGCGAAAGCGUGGGGAGCGAACAGGAUUAGAUACCCUGGUAGUCCACGCCGUAAACGAUGAGUGCUAAGUGUUUAGAGGGUUUCCGCCCUUUAGUGCUGCAGCAAACGCAUUAAGCACUCCGCCUGGGGGAGUACGGCCGCAAGGCUGAAACUCAAAGGAAUUUGACGGGGGCCCGCACAAGCGGUGGAACCAUGGGGGUUUAAUUCGAAGCAACGCGAAGAACCUUUACCAGGUCUUGACAUCCUCUGACAACCCUAGAAAAUAGGGCUUUCCCCUUCGGGGGACAAAGUGACAGGGGGUGGCCUGGGUUGUCGUCCAC
rnacentral:rRNA from 1 species